CAGUCGCCGCGGUAAUACGAAGGGGGCUAGCGUUGUUCGGAAUUACUGGGCGUAAAGCGCACGUAGGCGGAUAUUUAAGUCAGGGGUGAAAUCCCGCAGCUCAACUGCGGAACUGCCUUUGAUACUGGGUAUCUUGGGUAUGGAAGAGGUUAGUGGAAUUGCGAGUGUAGAGGUGAAAUUCGUAGAUAUUCGCAGGAACACCAGUGGCGAAGGCGGCUAACUGGUCCAUAACUGACGCUGAGGUGCGAAAGCGUGGGGAGCAAACAGGAUUAGAUACCCCGGUAGUCCCUGUCUCUUAUAC
rnacentral:rRNA from 1 species